rnacentral:misc_RNA from 1 species
GAUGAAGAACGCAGCGAAAUGCGAUAAGUAAUGUGAAUUGCAGAAUUCAGUGAAUCAUCGAAUUUUUGAACGCACCUUGCACUCCUUGGUAUUCCGAGGAGUAUGCCUGUUUGAGUGUCAUGAAAUUCUCAAUCCCUUUAAAUUUAUUGUUGAGGGGAAUUUGGAUGAUGGAAGUUUGCAGGCUUUUUUUCUUCAAGUCUGCUCUUCUUAAAUGCAUUAGCAAGGACUUUUGUGUUUUAAACCUUGGUCUGAUAAUUUCAUUCAUGUCCAAUGGUUUCACAUUAGUUGUCUGUGCUUGGAAAAAAAUUAUUUUGAUUUUUGACCUCAAAUCAGGUAGGACUACCCGCUGAACUUAAGCAUAUCAAUAAGCGGAGGA